ensembl:snRNA U6 U6 spliceosomal RNA
GUGCUCACUUCGGCAGUGCCUAUACUAAAACUGGAGCGAUACAGAGAAGAUUAGCAUGGUUCCUGCUCAAGAAUGCCAUGCAAAUUCAUGAUGUAUUCCAUAUUUUU